UGCAUGAAGUCGGAAUUGCUAGUAAUCGCGGAUCAGCAUGCCGCGGUGAAUACGUUCCCGGGCCUUGUACACACCGCCCGUCAAACCAUGAGAGUUGGCAACACCCGAAGUCGGUAGUCUAACCGCAAGGAGGACGCCGCCGAAGGUGGGGUUGAUGAUUAGGGUUAAGUCGUAACAAGGUAAC
rnacentral:rRNA from 1 species